CCCACAUUAAGAUGUAACCUGAGACAAGGCCCACUACUAGAAAUUGUACAUCUAACGAGAACAUGAUAACGACGACACCUAUAUUUUGUCGUGGUUUCUUUAGCGCGCUAAUUUUUACGACAAAAAAAAAUUCCAUCGUCUAAAUUCUAUAUAAAAAAUAAACAAAAAAUAAAAAUAAAACUAUGUUUGUCGUUAUCCCCCUUUUUCGUCCCUUCAGUUUCCCUUCACCUUUAACCUAAAACCUUCAUUGAAAUCGCCUCCCACCUAAGCUGAAAAUUUCGAUUCUUUAUCACCUCUUUUUCACUCUACUCCAACCAAAAACACCAAAUUAUACUCACCUUUCUUUAGUUGACCAAAGAUGCAGUUCAAUAACUGUGGAUGCCCGAGGCUAUUAAACAUUGAAUUUGCCAAUUUUAUGCAAGAUGGCAACCCCGUUUGAUUGGUAUGUAGCAUAUCCAUAUGUCUUUUCUACUUUAAAUGAAUUUCCCUUUAAAAUGGAUAUAGGGAUUGCAAAGAUUUUAGUUCAAUCGAUUAAAAUUGUGUUCAGAUGUCACUGGAAAGUUUCUUGAAUCGCAACUAUCAUUUCUGGUAAAUUCCUAUUUUUCUUUAAUUAAUACAAUUAAUUCUUGUUUUUGAAUUUAUCAAUUUUUUGAAUGCUCAUAUUGUUCAUAAAUUUUUCUUUGAAUUCUAUGAGUACGGGAAUCCUACGUGAUAACUUCCUGGCAGUCAGUUUUUGUUCGUGUUUACUAUUGAUGGGUGUUCAUCAAUUAUAAGGUUUGAUUUCUCCAAAUAGUGCUUGAUUCAUGUAUUGUUUUUCAUGGACGAUUUGUCUUUGUUCGGUUUUUUAUGCUUAUCUGAAUCGAUGAGAAGUAAUUGUAGUUGUGAAUUGAACUUGGGUAGACUUUAUUAGAACUACACGAACAUAUGUAAUCUAAACCAACUUAUGAAUAAGUGAAAAUAAGGUAAGCGUAACACACCCUCAGUGAAAACAUAUACUCUGUGUUCUUUAAUUUUACAGAGGUGGUCUGAUAUGACAGUGAUGUUCACUUUUGGAUUAUUGCAAUAGUCUCUUCUUUAAACACCAAUUCCCCACCCUUCAAAUAAGAGAGAAGAAAAAUAAUUGGAAGCGAAGAGUUUUCAUAUAUAGAUGGUUGUUAUCCUUGUGGUGUUACCAUUUUAUUUCCUUUAGAGUACAUUCCUUCGCUUUGAAUGUCGAUUCUGUCUCUGUCAGCCUUACCCCAUCCCGAAUCUUGAUGGUCACUGGCAGUCAGUUUUUGUUCGUGUUUACUAUUGAUGGUUGUUCUCUUUGAUUUGUCGUCAAUGUUUCUUGAAUUCUAACUAGAUUUUUAUCAUUCGUAAUAUUUAGUGCAGGCAGAUCACUUCAGUAUUGCAGAAAAGACCAACUACUUGGUUUUCAUGAUUGUUGUCUUUCAAGUGUGCUAAAUUUCCAAUCUAUGCUUGCUUUUGAAGGCUGUUUGUGUUUUUUUCUUGUAUCCAUGUGUUGGCAAGCAUAAUUAAUUCAUGUUUGUUUCUGUUAAGAGCAUCAGAUUUCGGUAUUAAAACUAGCAAUUCUUGAUGCUAAUGGUGUACCAUUUUCAAAAGAGGUACACACUACUAGAAAUUGAGCAUUUAACGAGAAAUAAUACGUUCAUCGUUAAUGUUCAGUGAAAAGAUGAAGAAAAAAAAGAAAAAAAAGUAAAAAAAGUUGUUCGUCGUUAUCCAAAUUCCCAGUAGCGCUAUGUUUUUAAUUUUCGAAGCUUGCUUCAAAUUUUACUCAUCUCUAACCUAAAACCUUCAGUUAAACUUGCAGUUUUGCAAUUCUUAUUAUUAAAAAUGAAAUAUUAGGUUAUCUCUCUUCCCUCUCCCUACAUAAUUGAUCAAAGAUGCAGUGGAAAUAUUCCAUGUGCGGCGAAGCUAUUAACCUUGAAUGUAAUCUCUUUAUGCGCAACAACAUUUGCUUGGUAUGUUUCCACCUCUUUUCAACUUUAAUAUUUUUUCCCUUAAAAAUGAAACAGGGUUUGAUUUAGCUUUUUUGGUUCAAUUGAUUGGAAUUGUUCUCAGAUACCGCUGAGAAUUUUUUGAAUUGCAAUCAUCUAAUUCAAUCUGGUUCUAACAAGGUCUGAAGGUUUCUCGGUGAAAAAAAAAACUAGCUAGAAGCCUUGAAGAUGGAAGCAAUGCUUUAUACGAAACUGAGUAGAAUAUUAUCUGAAUUACAUAACUGGUUAAUUUUCACUAGCUUCAAUGCUAUUGGAGAAAGAUAAAAGAAACACAUGUGGAUUGCCGUGACAGUAAGAAUUUAGACUGUAAGGUACGCCUCUAGUCUGGGAGGCUUGGCUUUUGAAUUUGGUAUUGCGUAUUAUUGAAGGCUUGGCUUCCGAUUUUUGUUGUGUUGUUUUCAUUGCUGCUCUUGUGUUCCUUCUGGUUUGCUUUAGGUCAAAAUUGGUUUGCUUCAUGUCAGAACUCUUAGUCUUUUACUAUCUCCAAAGUACUUUGAUUUUCUCUUUUGUGA